rnacentral:rRNA from 1 species
UGGGGAAUUUUGGACAAUGGGCGAAAGCCUGAUCCAGCCAUGCCGCGUGAGUGAAGAAGGCCUUCGGGUUGUAAAGCUCUUUUAGUCGGAAAGAAAGAGUUGCAAUGAAUAAUUGUGAUUUAUGACGGUACCGUCAGAAAAAGCACCGGCUAACUACGUGCCAGCAGCCGCGGUAAUACGUAGGGUGCGAGCGUUAAUCGGAAUUACUGGGCGUAAAGGGUGCGCAGGCGGUCUUGCAAGUCAGAUGUGAAAGCCCCGGGCUUAACCUGGGAAUUGCGUUUGAAACUACAAGGCUAGAGUGCAGCAGAGGGGAGUGGAAUUCCAUGUGUAGCAGUGAAAUGCGUAGAGAUGUGGAAGAACGCCGAUGGCGAAGGCAGCUCCCUGGGUUGACACUGACGCUCAUGCACGAAAGCGUGGGGAGCAAACA